rnacentral:misc_RNA from 1 species
AAGUCGUAACAAGGUAACCGUAGGUGAACCUGCGGUUGGAUCAUUAAAAAAUGUUUGGUCUCGUGCCAAAUUAACACUUGUGUGCACCAUUGUCUGUAUUUGGUAGCUCGAGUGCGCUCCGGGAGCUCAACAACUCCCACAGGGGGCGCCUACCCUCGCAGGUCUUUAUUCCUCGGAUUUUAUGGCUCCGGCCAGAGAGAUGGGGAAUCCGCUUGGGUUGGGCUACCGCCUUUUCUUUUUGAAAAACCUUUUGUUUGUUUUGUUUUUGUCUGAACGAAGAUUUGAUCUUUAUUGAUUAAUGAUUUGAAAACAACUUUUGACAACGGAUCUCUUGGCUCUC